GACAGAGGUGCCAAGCGUUAGGCGGAAUCACUGGGCUUAAAGCGUGUGUAGGCGGAUCGUUAAGUACCUUGUGAAAUCCCACGGCUCAACCGUGGAACUGCUGGGUAUACUGGCGGUCUUGAGCCACCUAGGGGCAACUGGAACAAGCGGUGGAGCGGUGAAAUGCGUAGAUAUCGCUUGGAACGCCAACGGUGAAAACAGGUUCUGGGGGUGUGCUGACGCUGAGACACGAAAGCCAGGGGAGCGAACGGG
rnacentral:rRNA from 1 species